rnacentral:lncRNA from 1 species
CAGGCAGGCAUUACUUUUGUGUCUAAAGCUUACUAAUGAUAUAUUUCAAAGUUUUGCCAUUUUCAAGCUUCUGAAGUGUGACAUUUAUGUGUGCUCAGUUGUUUGUUUUAAAACCAAUUCCACUAUCAUGUAGUAAUUAAAUCCUUUUUCCAUGUGGUUUUGUUAAGACAUGAGUCACUUAGGUUUUUUGCUAACCAUAAGAAGUCACAUUACAGGGGUCUAUAUAUUCAUCAGCUGACAAAAGUGUGAAUUGAAUUAUCCAGGAAAUGAACCCUGCGUUUUCUGUAACACAGUGCUUCAUGAUGUUAUUUCAUUGUUCAUGUCUUCUUAGUACGUUUAACGUUUUACAAUAAUGAAGUUGACUCCACCUAGUUAGUAACUGCCGAAGAACUUAUUGGAGCUAAUAAAAAUAAUAUUCACCCUAAAUGUCUAAAAAGGUAAGGAACAUAUUUUAAAGUUAAACUUCAGAACUGUUAUUGUAGUCAUUUUUCUCAAUUAAGACAAUACAUUUAUCUUUUUAUCCUAUUUCCCUUUGGGAGAAUAGUCCCCUAACAAAAUGAGCUCUCAACCACAUUGAGUCGUGUGUGCAUAUGUGUGUGUGUGUGUGUGUGUGUGUGUGUGUGUGUUGAGUUAGUUAUUAAUUUAAAAGAUGAAUUUUGUGAAAACGUUUUUCUUGAUGUUUCAUUUCUAUGACAUUGACCUUAAACUUUCCAUUUUAUUUCUCUAAAGUACCUCAGGAAAGAAAUGUUAUGAAUAAACGUCAAGAAGAAAAGGAAAGAGAAGAGAUCAUGAGAAAGUCACAGGGAUUCCUGUUUCAGGCAAGAAAUAACCUCCUCAAUAACUUUUACUCACAUUCCAUUGGCAAGAGCUAAUUAUAUCGCCAAAUAAUGUGGCAGUGGAGAUAGAUAAUAUACUCUGGCCAGGACGGUGAUCUAAUGCAUCUCUCCUUUAUCAGUUGUGGGUCAAAAGAAGCAGGAGCCAAGUACGUUGGGUGUCCUGUGACUAAAUGUUCCUGCAAGUACCAGCAAGAUGCAUGAAGCAAUUACUCUAGAAUGCUGCCAUUUUUUUUUCUUACAAGAAUACAAUCCUUAGACCUAUAGUAUCCUCCUUGAAGAAAAUGUCAAGGAGGCAUUUUUUUCCACAAUUUUGUUUAAAUUUCAAGGGAGUCAACAAGGAAUAAAUCAAAUCAAUGUAUAUAGGGGCUUUACCUG